rnacentral:rRNA from 1 species
AUUGAACGCUGGCGGCAGGCCUAACACAUGCAAGUCGAGCGAGCGGCGGACGGGUGAGUAAUGUCUGGGCACCUGCCUGAUGGAGGGGGAUAACUACUGGAAACGGUAGCUAAUACCGCAUACCAUCAGAUGUGCCCAGAUGGGAUUAGCUAGUAGGUGGGGUAAUGGCUCACCUAGGCGACGAUCCCUAGCUGGUCGGAGAGGAUGAACAGCCACACUGGAACGGAGACACGGUCCAGACGCCUACGGGAGGCAGCAGUAGGGAAUAUUGCACAAUGGGCGCAAGCCUGAUGCAGCCAUGCCGCGUGUGUGAAGAAGGCCUUCGGGUUGUAAAGCACUUUCGGCGAGGAGGCGUUACUCGCAGAAGAAGCACCGGCUAACUCCGUGCCAGCAGCCGCGGUAAUAC